GCACAAGCGGUGGAGCAUGUGGAUUAAUUCGAUGCAACGCGAAGAACCUUACCUGGGUUUGACAUGCACAGGAUGUGCCUAGAGAUAGGUAUUCCCUUGUGGCCUGUGUGCAGGUGGUGCAUGGCUGUCGUCAGCUCGUGUCGUGAGAUGUUGGGUUAAGUCCCGCAACGAGCGCAACCCUUGUCUCAUGUUGCCAGCGCGUGAUGGCGGGGACUCGUGAGAGACUGCCGGGGUCAACUCGGAGGAAGGUGGGGAUGACGUCAAGUCAUCAUGCCCCUUAUGUCCAGGGCUUCACACAUGCUACAAUGGCCGGUACAAAGGGCUGCGAUGCCGUGAGGUGGAGCGAAUCCUUUCAAAGCCGGUCUCAGUUCGGAUCGGGGUCUGCAACUCGACCCCGUGAAGUCGGAGUCGCUAGUAAUCGCAGAUCAGCAACGCUGCGGUGAAUACGUUCCCGGGC
rnacentral:rRNA from 1 species